GGCCACUACUGGUGUUUUCAUGCACUGCUGUUUUACCACUUCCCAGGUUCAUGAUUAAGAACUGCUAGGUUUGGUGGUGCAUUCCAGCUACUUGGGCAGCUGUGCCAGGAGAAGCCACAUAGGGCUAGCUUGAGUAACUUACCAACACUAUCUCAAAAUUAAAAUAAAAUCAGAAAAGUGUUGGGAAUGUAUGAAGCAUUCACAUGGCAUUUUAAAAAACAGACAGAUUGGGGGUGGGAGGGAGACUUGCAUGUGUGUGUCCUGACUUCUUGACCAUACUACCAAGUAAAACUUUGGGAUGCCCCUCUACCCUUGUGCCCCUGCCUUGGGAGUUUUCUCUGCUCUAUUACAGACGAUAUGUGACCAAACCCACCUCAGAUGACGAUGAUGGGGAUGAGAAAGGUGAUGAGAAUGAGGAUGAGGAUGUCGAAGAUGACAGCAGCAGUGAAGAAGAAAAGGAGGAAAUGUCUGGACCUACCGAUAAUGAUGGUACCCAAGAAUCAGAGCAGGAGCAGGCUGGGACCAGCUCUGGGGUCACCGGAAGAUGCCCAUCCCUCUUAGACAACAGCCUCCACACAUCGCAGUGGCCCCCAAGGCGACGACGAAAGCAAUUGUUUACUCUGCAGACAGUGAACUCCAAUGGAACCAGUGACCGGACCACCUCCCCUGAAGAAGCCCAAACUCAGCCGUACAUUGCCAUGGAUUGGGAACCAGAGAUGAAGAGGCGCUAUUAUGAUGAAGUAGAGGCUGAGGUAAAUGGAAAGGGGACCCAAGGGAUGGGAGACUCUUUUAGCUCACAGUGUAACUGUUUAUACAUCCUCCCUAACUCCAGCUAAGAAUAGAGCCAAGAGAUCCAGGCCCA
rnacentral:lncRNA from 1 species